rnacentral:rRNA from 1 species
AGUCGAACGGGAUCUGAGGGUAGCUUGCUACCCGAUUUGAGAGUGGCGCACGGGUGCGUAACGCGUGAGCAACCUACCCAUAUCAGGGGGAUAGCCCGGAGAAAUCCGGAUUAACACCGCAUAACAUUGCUGAUCGGCAUCGAUUAGUAAUUAAAUAUUUAUAGGAUAUGGAUGGGCUCGCGUGACAUUAGCUAGUUGGUAAGGUAACGGCUUACCAAGGCAACGAUGUCUAGGGGCUCUGAGAGGAGAAUCCCCCACACUGGUACUGAGACACGGACCAGACUCCUACGGGAGGCAGCAGUAAGGAAUAUUGGUCAAUGGAGGCAACUCUGAACCAGCCAUGCCGCGUGCAGGAUGACUGCCCUAUGGGUUGUAAACUGCUUUUGUACGGGAAUAACCCCUAUUAUGUAUAGUAGGCUGAAUGUACCGUAAGAAUAAGGAUCGGCUAACUCCGUGCCAGCAGCCGCGGUAAUACGGAGGAUCCAAGCGUUAUCCGGAUUUAUUGGGUUUAAAGGGUGCGUAGGUGGCUUUUUAAGUCAGGGGUGAAAUACGGCAGCUCAACUGUCGCAGUGCCUUUGAUACUGAAGAGCUUGAAUAACGUUGAAGAUGGCGGAAUGAGACAAGUAGCGGUGAAAUGCAUAGAUAUGUCUCAGAACACCGAUUGCGAAGGCAGCUGUCUAAGCGUUUAUUGACACUGAUGCACGAAAGCGUGGGGAUCAAACAGGAUUAGAUACCCUGGUAGUCCACGCCCUAAACGAUGAUAACUCGAUGUUUGCGAUAUACAGUAAGCGUC